rnacentral:rRNA from 1 species
GAUGAACGCUAGCUACAGGCUUAACACAUGCAAGUCGAGGGGCAGCAUGGUCUUAGCUUGCUAAGGCCGAUGGCGACCGGCGCACGGGUGAGUAACACGUAUCCAACCUGCCGUCUACUCUUGGACAGCCUUCUGAAAGGAAGAUUAAUACAAGAUGGCAUCAUGAGUCCGCAUGUUCACAUGAUUAAAGGUAUUCCGGUAGACGAUGGGGAUGCGUUCCAUUAGAUAGUAGGCGGGGUAACGGCCCACCUAGUCUUCGAUGGAUAGGGGUUCUGAGAGGAAGGUCCCCCACAUUGGAACUGAGACACCGUCCAAACUCCUACGGGAGGCAGCAGUGAGGAAUAUUGGUCAAUGGGCGCAGGCCUGAACCAGCCAAGUAGCGUGAAGGAUGACUGCCCUAUGGGUUGUAAACUUCUUUUAUAAAGGAAUAAAGUCGGGUAUGUAUACCCGUUUGCAUGUACUUUAUGAAUAAGGAUCGGCUAACUCCGUG